rnacentral:rRNA from 1 species
UACAGAGGUCUCAAGCGUUGUUCGGAUUCAUUGGGCGUAAAGGGUGCGUAGGCGGCGCGGUAAGUCGGGUGUGAAAUCUCGGGGCUUAACUCCGAAACUGCAUUCGAUACUGCCGUGCUUGAGGACUGGAGAGGAGACUGGAAUUUACGGUGUAGCGGUGAAAUGCGUAGAUAUCGUAAGGAAGACCAGUGGCGAAGGCGGGUCACUGGCCCGGUACUGACGCUGAGGUGCGAAAGCGUGGGGAGCAAACAGG